UACGUAGGGGGCAAGCGUUGUCCGGAUUUAUUGGGCGUAAAGCGCUCGUAGGCGGUUCGGUAAGUCGGAUGUGAAAUCUCCAGGCUCAACCUGGAGGGGUCAUUCGAUACUGCCGUGACUAGAGUUCGGUAGGGGAGUGUGGAAUUCCUGGUGGAGCGGUGAAAUGCGCAGAUAUCAGGAGGAACACCGGUGGCGAAGGCGCCGCUCUGGGUCGAAACUGACGCUGAGGAGCGAAAGCGUGGGUAGCAAACAGG
rnacentral:rRNA from 1 species